GACGAACGCUGGCGGCGUGCUUAACACAUGCAAGUCGAACGGAAAGGCCCUGCUUUUGUGGGGUGCUCGAGUGGCGAACGGGUGAGUAAAACGCGAGUAACCUGCCCUUUACUUUGGGAUAACUUCAGGAAACUGGGGCUAAUACCGGAUAGGAGCUCCUGCUGCAUGGGGGUGGUUGGAAAGCUUCGGCGGUUGGGGAUGGACUCGCGGCUUAUCAGCUUGUUGGUGGGGUAGUGGCUUACCAAGGCUUUGACGGGUAGCCGGCCUGAGAGGGUGACCGGCCACAUUGGGACUGGGAUACGGCCCAGACUCCUACGGGGGGCAGCAGUGGGGAAUAUUGCACAAUGGGCGGAAGCCUGAUGCAGCAACGCCGCGUGCGGGAUGACGGCCUUCGGGUUGUAAACCGCUUUCGCCUGUGACGAAGCGUGAGUGACGGUAAUGGGUAAAGAAGCACCGGCUAACUACGUG
rnacentral:rRNA from 1 species